GACGAACGCUGGCGGCGUGCCUAACACGUGCAAGUUGAGCGACGAACCAGGGCUUGCCCUGGGGCAAAGCAGCGAACGGGUGAGUAACACGUGGGUAACCUACCCCGAUAACCGGGACAACCCGAGGAAACUCGGGCUAAUACCGGAUGUGCUCACUGGACUUCGGUUCAGUGCGUAAAGGAAGCUUCGGCCUCCGUAUCGGGAGGGGCCCGCGGCCCAUUAGUUUGUUGGUGAGGUAACGGCUCACCAAGACCGCGAUGGGUAGCUGGUCUGAGAGGACGAUCAGCCACACUGGGACUGAGACACGGCCCAGACUCCUACGGGAGGCAGCAGUGGGGAAUCUUGCGCAAUGCGCGAAAGCGUGACGCAGCAACGCCGCGUGGGGGAAGAAGGCCUUCGGGUUGUAAACCCCUUUCAGGAGGGACGAAGGUUCGGCGGUGAAUAGCCGUCCGGACUGACGGUACCUCCACAGGAAGCCCCGGCUAACUACGUG
rnacentral:rRNA from 1 species